AGUAUUUAAUUAUGAGCAGGCAGAGCAAAUAGGAGGGACGCAAUAAAAAUGCUAAUCAGGGAGGAAAAAACCCAGAAUUUGUUUUCUUCUAGAAUAGGCUAAAGCUCAUCUCUUCCCCCUCCAUUUCCAGCCCCCAAAUGAGUGCUGCAGACCAGGUUCUGAAUGUGACUCGGUGACAGCUUGAGGUCUUCUCAACAUCACCAGGACAGGACCUGGGCUUGAGGACCAUCUGUCAUCUCACUCUGGAUCACCUCCCUUCCCUCCAUGACUCAGGGAGAAAGAACCCAGGCCUUCAACUCCUAGCUACGGCCCCUUCCUGGAAAAAUAUCUGUUAGAUUAAAAGUUCACAUACCAGCUUAGCUACUUACCUGGUAUGGAACCCUAGACAAGCUACUUAACUUCUCUG
rnacentral:lncRNA from 10 species